rnacentral:siRNA from 1 species
UAGAUGUCCAUAAGAGAAUUGGA